AUGUUGUUACCAAUAAAAAAGAAGGAGUAUUUCUUACACAACUAUGGAGGUACAGGGAAAACAUACAUGUGGAGAACCCUCGAAAGUUCUUUAAGGUCAAAACAUGAUAUUGUUUUAAUUGUUGCUUCAAGUGGUAUAGCUUCUUUGUUAUUACCAGAUGGUAGGACUGCUCAUUCGAAGUUUAAAAUUUAUGUUCCAACAGAAGAUAACUCAACCUGCAAUAUUUAA